ACUCCUGCGGGAGGCAGCAGUGGGGAAUAUUGGACAAUGGGCGCAAGCCUGAUCCAGCCAUGCCGCGUGAGUGAUGAAGGCCCUAGGGUUGUAAAGCUCUUUCACCGGUGAAGAUAAUGACGGUAACCGGAGAAGAAGCCCCGACUAACUUCGUGCCAGCAGCCGCGGUAAUACGAAGGGGGCUAGCGUUGUUCGGAUUUACUGGGCGUAAAGCGCACGUAGGCGGACUAUUAAGUCAGGGGUGAAAUCCCGGGGCUCAACCCCGGAACUGCCUUUGAUACUGGUAGUCUUGAGUUCGAGAGAGGUGAGUGGAAUUCCGAGUGUAGAGGUGAAAUUCGUAGAUAUUCGGAGGAACACCAGUGGCGAAGGCGGCUCACUGGCUCGAUACUGACGCUGAGGUGCGAAAGCGUGGGGAGCAAACAGGAUUAGAUACCCCAGUAGUCCCAUGA
rnacentral:rRNA from 1 species